rnacentral:snoRNA from 1 species
GCCCUCUCAGGUUUGCGCCUGGAGAGUUUCCAAUACUCUAACAGUCUUGGCUAUGGGAGGAAGAGUCAAGCAGAGGCCUACCCAUUCCAUUCCUAGCUUGAGCAGUGCCUAGUGAGUGGAAGGCAAUCUGCUACAAGU